CUGCUACCCUUCCUGGCCAUACUGCUCCCUCCAACACAUUGGUGACAAUACUGACCCUUCCCAGUCUUACUGUGUAACUGGAUUCUUGUAAUAGAUCCUCCUCAACACAAAGCCAUGUAACAGUAUUCUAGAUCCAAGUCAUUCUUUUGGUUUGGUGUAGGCUUACAGUAGCAGACCACAGCUCAUCGCCAUGUUUCAUAUUCACAUGACUUAGUUUUAACACGAGAAAAUGUUCAGAGUUGCUGUUUUGUGAUCUGCCCUCUAGCGUUUUGGUAGAGAAUUGCAAGUCCCAAACUGAGUUGUGAGCAAUAAUCUCAUAUUGUGUCUUUGGCAAACCGUACAUCAAGAAUCACGCCUUCAUUGAAGAUAAAGAUGUUGACUCCACUAAUGAGGACGAGGACCUUGGACACACCCUGUCUGGGGAUGAGAAUCAUCGUCUGAUUCUUGUAGACAUGCCCCCAAGUGUCCUGGAUGAUCUCCCUCUCUGAGUCAGACAGUGGCUCGGUGCGCUCCGGACGAUCGUUGCAGUCCACCUCCCGCCUCCUCACUCCCAGCAGCUGCUCCUGGUUCCGAGGCAGCGGCGGAGACUCCCUGCGAGACAUCCUCCUCCGACGCAGAAGCCUGGAGGCUCCGAGCAAGGCCCGGGGGAGGUAGGGAGUGAGGGAAGGGGGGAGGGAGACGGAGAGCUGAGACCCCACGGCGGGAGCUGGGAGAUGGUACAGGGAUGAGAAGAAAAGUGGAAAGGAAGAGCGGGAUGAGGGGAGAAAGGUGGCAGGGAGGAUGAGCCACCAAUAGGGAAAAUGUUUUCCUUCCUCCACAUAAAAAAAACAAAAACAAAAAAACUUCUUCGUACUCUUGACUUUCCUUACUUUAUCCUCUUCUUGUCAGUGGUGCUGAUGCUGCUCCCUGUCAUACUUGUUCCCUGGCUGGCUCAUCCUCUCACACAGACUGUGUGUAUGUGUGUGUGUGUGUAUGUGUGUGUGUGUGUGUGUAUGAGAAAACCUGAUGGAAUGAGUGCAGUGGGGAGAAUAAAAGAGAGAGGGGCACAGGGAGAGAGAGAGAGAGAGAGAGACGGAGGGAGGAGAGACUUGAAAAUAUUUGUUUUAA